GAUGAACGCUGGCGGCGUGCCUAAUACAUGCAAGUCGAGCGAAUGGAUUAAGAGCUUGCUCUUAUGAAGUUAGCGGCGGACGGGUGAGUAACACGUGGGUAACCUGCCCAUAAGACUGGGAUAACUCCGGGAAACCGGGGCUAAUACCGGAUAACAUUUUGAACCGCAUGGUUCGAAAUUGAAAGGCGGCUUCGGCUGUCACUUAUGGAUGGACCCGCGUCGCAUUAGCUAGUUGGUGAGGUAACGGCUCACCAAGGCAACGAUGCGUAGCCGGCCUGAGGGGGUGAUCGGCCACACUGGGACUGAGACACGGCCCAGACUCGUACGGGAGGCAGCAGUAGGGAAUCUUCCGCAAUGGACGAAAGUCUGACGGAGCAACGCCGCGUGAGUGAUGAAGGCUUUCGGGUCGUAAAACUCUGUUGUUAGGGAAGAACAAGUGCUAGUUGAAUAAGCUGGCACCUUGACGGUACCUAACCAGAAAGCCCCGGCUAACUACGUGCCAGCCGCCGCGGUAA
rnacentral:rRNA from 1 species